rnacentral:rRNA from 1 species
UUCCGGUUGAUCCUGCCGGACCCGACUGCUAUUUGGGUGAGAAUAAGCCAUGCGAGUCGAAUGGGAUACCCAAGCUUCCCAUGGCAAACUGCUCAGUAACACAUGAUCAACUUACCCUAUAGAGAAAAAUAACCUCGGGAAACUGAGGAUAAUGUUUCAUGGUUGAAUCGGCUUGGAAAAGUUUUUCAAUCAAAGGGAUAAGAAAAAUGGUUCUUAUUUGCUAUAGGAUAGGAACGUGGACGAUUAUGGUUGUUGGUGAGGUAAUGGCUCACCAAGCCGAUAAUCGAUCGGGGCCGUGAGAGCGGGAGCCCCGAGAUGGGUACUGAGACAACGACCCAGGCCUUACGAGGCGCAGCAGGCGCGGAACCUCCGCAAUACACGAAAGUGUGACGGGGUUACCCAAAGUGUUCAAUUCUGAACUGUGGUAGGUGAGUAAUGUCCCCUACUAGAAAGGAGAGGGCAAGGCUGGUGCCAGCCGCCGCGGUAAAACCAGCUCUUCAAGUGGUCGGGAUAAUUAUUGGGCUUAAAGCGUCCGUAGCCGGUUUAGUUAGUUCCUGGUAAAAUCGGGUAGCUUAACUAUCUGUAUGCUAGGAAUACUGCUAUACUAGAGGGCGGGAGAGGUUUGAGGUACUACAGGGGUAGGGGUGAGAUCUUAUAAUCCUUGUAGGACCACCAGUGGCGAAGGCGUCAGACUGGAACGUGCCUGACGGUGAGGGACGAAAGCCAGGGGAGCGAACCGGGAUUAGAUACGCGGGUAGUCCUGGCCGUAAACGAUGCAUACUAGGUGAUGGCACGGCCAUGAGCCGUGUCAGUGCCGUAGGGAAACCGUUAAGUGUGCCGCCUGGGAAGUACGGUCGCAAGGGCUAAACUUAAAGGAAUUGGCGGGGGAGCCACCACAGGGUGAAGCCCUGGCGUUCAUUGGAAUCAACGCCGGAA